rnacentral:tRNA from 1 species
GACUCCGUAGUUUGAAGGAAUAGAAGCGCCCGUCUAGCGAAUCGGGAGUCGUGAGUUCGAGUCUCACCGGAGUGC